ACACAGGGGUGCUGAGUUUACUCGGCUGAGAUUAUACCCUUAACCUGAUUCGGAUAAUGCCGACGUAGGGAGCUUGUUUAU
rnacentral:ncRNA from 1 species